rnacentral:lncRNA from 1 species
AUAGAAUGAGAGACCUGAAUUAACAAAAAACUUGUGUGUCUUAUGUGUUACAGAAAUAAAUUUCCCUGGCUCUAAACAAGCAUUUUAGAACCCCCAGCAGGAUUUUGAUGUUAGCUUAAGGAAAAGUAAAUGUUUGCUCGGCUCCAUCUUCAAACACUCUCAGCAUUUUGACCACCGUGUAUAGCACUCAUCUGAAGUCUUCCCAUGCUACUUUUAACUCCUCUGCUUCCAUGGUAUAUUGAAAUUAAUUAUACAGUGGAAUGCCUGAAUUUAUUGGAACUCUGAAAUCUGUCUCCCAAAUUCUGAAAACAAAUCAAAGCCAGGGGUUGGCACUUCCAAGUAUCCAGCUUCAGAGCAUGGUGGCUGCAAUUCCAGAGAGUCUUUUCACUGGAAGAUCCAAAUGCAAAGUUUGCAGGUGGGCAUGGUCCUGAGCUGAGUGCUUGAAUGGGGGAUGGCAGGAGAAGAAUUCCUCAUCUUCCUGCUCAGUGAUUCAUUUGCACCAAAAGGGAGAAUAAAACCUGGGCCAAAAAAAAAACCA